rnacentral:lncRNA from 1 species
UGGGAAAUCCCAUGGACAGAGGAGCCUGGCAGGUCACAAAAGAGUCAGACAUGUUUUAGCAACUAAAGAAUAACAACAUCCUUUGAUUAGAUUUUAGUUGAAGGGAGAGAAGAGCAUAGCAGUCAUAUACUCAACUAGUUCUUAACUCUGAGUCCCUCUCACUCACCAUUUAGCCAGCGGACCUUAAUUUCCUCUGUUUAUAAAGGAGACUUAUACCCAUUUGACAGGAACUUUGUAAUUCUUAGAUUGAUGUGGGGUUUUGGUCGGGGGAGCGGGGAGCUGGGGAAGGAGAAAGCAGUUACUUGAACAAUAGUUAUGUGAUUAAAACUCUCAAGUAUUGCCAAAAAUAGUUGAUAGAAAUUUUGCAUUGAUGUGAACCAGCGUGAAACCACUUUGAUUUUGGUGAGGGGAGUAUAUUGAAAGAUAUUACAGUAAAAAUCCACUUUACUGUGUAAAAUAUUUCCUUCAGCGUUUAGGUGCAGGAGGAUUUGUCUUGGUCCCAUGCCCAUAAGGCUUCGACGGGGCAACCCGCUUGGUUAUAUUGGCUUGCUUAUCUUGAGCACUCAUUGGAUUUGGGUUAGGACAAAAGUUACUUAACAGGAAAAAAGUAGGCAAAUAGAUACUCAGGUUUUUGACUGAUUACAUCUAUUUAUAGCACAUAUAUUGUGAAGAGCUGUGGUUUUCUUUAGAUUAAGAAAAGCAUCAUGUAAAAAUCAUCUCCACAUAAAUGCUUCCUCUGCCCACUCAUUUGUCUGCAAGCCAGGAGUCUGUUCAUUUCCGCUUGGGCUCAGUGCCUCUGCUGUUCAUAAGCUCAUUUUCUAGACGUUCCAGUGCGUUUAAAACAUACAUUUUUAAAGUGUUUGUAUAAAAUAUAAAAUGUUUAAAGUUACUAGUUAAUUUAUUUUAUACCCUGAAAGUAACCUCUCUGGGGCCUAUAGGGAGAUAGUGCCUUGGAACAGGUUGUUCGCUCAGAAAUAUGGAUAUUUGGAUUUUUUGUCUUACUGAAAUAUGCACAGUCAUUCACAGCUCAAUAUAGAGAACCGUGUUUGGGGAAAAGUAAUUAAAACUUCGGUGUGGAAAAACCUUUGUAUAUUUGGACAUCUUCCACCAGCUUUCACCAGCUUUCUCUGCUCAGGUUACCCCUGACCAGUUAUUGAACCACAGAGCAAAUAGUGAAGAAUAAUGUUGUGUGAUGCUGAGGGAUUUUUGCUCCUCACAAACACAUUGUUAAAUUGCCACAUGUUUUAUGGGUUGGCCUUGAGUUAAAAUUUUAGUGUUUAGUCACCAGUACCUAGCAUAAGUUUGUCAGUAUGAUACAUGUAUACAUAUGCAUGUUUGUACAUGUAUGUGUUUGUAAGGAGUAUGCUUUUCUUUCCUUAAACUGAACUAUUGAGAUGUGUUUAACCUUUUUUUUUUCUCCACUGCUUUACCUGUUAUAUGGCAUUUAGUGAAAAAAAUUUUUUUUUGUGAAAGUUGCAGAUCCCUUGAGGGCAACAAACUCCACACUCAAAGUGAAACUAGGUUACUGCUGCUGCAACACGCAGUGGUUUGCAUCAAAAGCUGUUUUGGUCUUAACUCUGAAAUUAUCCCUUUUUCUUUGAAGUGGUCAUAUUUUAAUUCGGAGUGGUUUUAAAUUUUAGACGUUUCUGAAGUGAACAUUAAAAUGUUUUAGUAUAUUUUAUGUGGUUGUUGUACACAAGUUUAUAGAAAGCUUAUCUCUAGACAGCAUAUUUCUUCAAUAAGACCAAAGGGAAAAAAUGCUUAAGAUUUGAGAAUGUUUAUUAAAGACUGAAAGUGUUUUAGGAGUGUAUUCCAAAUGGUUUUAGGUAGCUGUGUUAUAGAUUUCCUUAGCU